AGAGUUUGAUCCUGGCUCAGAACGAACGCUGGCGGCAGGCCUAACACAUGCAAGUCGAACGCUCCAGCAAUGGAGAGUGGCAGACGGGUGAGUAACGCGUGGGAACCUACCCUUUGGUUCGGAAUAGCUCAGGGAAACUUGAGGUAAUACCGGAUAAGCCCUUCGGGGGAAAGAUUUAUCGCCAAUGGAUGGGCCCGCGUCGGAUUAGCUAGUUGGUGGGGUAACGGCCUACCAAGGCGACGAUCCGUAGCUGGUCUGAGAGGAUGAUCAGCCACACUGGGACUGAGACACGGCCCAGACUCCUACGGGAGGCAGCAGUGGGGAAUAUUGGACAAUGGGGGCAACCCUGAUCCAGCCAUGCCGCGUGAGUGACGAAGGUCUUCGGAUUGUAAAGCUCUUUUGGCGGGGAAGAUAAUGACGGUACCCGCAGAAUAAGCCCCGGCUAACUUCGUGCCAGCAGCCGCGGUAAUACGAAGGGGGCUAGCGUUGUUCGGAAUCACUGGGCGUAAAGCGCACGUAGGCGGAUGUGUCAGUCAGGGGUGAAAUCCCGGAGCUCAACUUCGG
rnacentral:rRNA from 1 species